rnacentral:rRNA from 1 species
GACAGAGGGUGCAAACGUUGUUCGGAAUUACUGGGCGUAAAGCGUGUGUAGGCGGUCUGCUAAGUCGGGUGUGAAAGCCCUGGGCUCAACCCAGGAAGUGCACUCGAAACUGGCAGGCUAGAGUAUCGGAGAGGUUGGUGGAAUUCUCGGUGUAGAGGUGAAAUUCGUAGAUAUCGAGAGGAACACCGGUGGCGAAGGCGGCCAACUGGACGAAUACUGACGCUGAGACACGAAAGCGUGGGGAGCAAACAGGAUUAGAUACCCGUGUAGU